rnacentral:rRNA from 1 species
CUCAUGGUCCAAGUUUGAAAUAUGGCUUCGGCUAUCACUUUUGGAUGGUCCCGCGGCGUAUUAGCUAGAUGGUGGGGUAACGGCUCACCAUGGCAAUGAUACGUAGCCGACCUGAAAGGGUAAUCGGCCACAUUGGGACUGAGACACGGCCCAAACUCCUACGGGAGGCAGCAAUCUGGAAUCUUCCACAAUGGACGAAAGUCUGAUGGACCAACGCCUCGUGAGUGAAUAAGGGUUUCGGCUCGUAAAACUCUGUUGUUAAAGAAGAACAUAUCUGAUAGUAACUGUUCAGGUAUUGACGGUAUUUAACCAGAAAGCCACGGCUAACUACCUGCCAGCAGCCGCGGUAAUACGUAAGUGGCAAGCGUUGUCCGGAUUUAUUGGGCGUAAAGCGAGCGCAUGCGGUUUCUUAAGUCUGAUGUGAAAGCCUUCCGCUCAACCGAAGAAGUGCAUCUGGAAACUGGGAAACUUGAAUACGAAGAGGACAGUGGAACUCCAUGUGUAACUGUGAAAUGCGUAGAUAUAUGGAAGAACACCAAUGGCGAAUGCUGGUCUCUGGUCUGUAACUGACGCUCGAAGCUCCGAAGUAUCGGUAGCGAAUACGGACUCAUACCCUGGUAUCCAUACCGAUAAACGAUUAAUGCUUAGAGGUGUUACGGGCUUUCGCCUCUUUGCUG